rnacentral:rRNA from 1 species
UACGUAGGUGGCAAGCGUUGUCCGGAUUUACUGGGCGUAAAGAGCGCGCAGGCGGUCGACCAAGUCGCGUGUGAAAGCCCCCGGCUCAACUGGGGAGGGUCACGCGAUACUGAUCGACUCGAAGGCAGGAGAGGGUAGUGGAAUUCCCGGUGUAGUGGUGAAAUGCGUAGAUAUCGGGAGGAACACCAGUGGCGAAGGCGACUACCUGGCCUGUUCUUGACGCUGAGGCGCGAAAGCUAGGGGAGCGAAUGGG